UUUUACAUAGUUUAUUAAAACCUUAUAUUUUCACUAUAAAAAUGAGUUAUACUCUGUAAAUA
rnacentral:tRNA from 1 species